UACGUAGGUGGCGAGCGUUUGUCCGGAAUUACUGGGCGUAAAGAGCGCGCAGGCGGCUGGUCAAGUCCGAUGUGAAAUCUCCCGGCUUAACUGGGAAAUUGCAUCGGAAACUGAUCGGCUUGAAGGUGGGAGAGGGUAGCGGAAUUCCCGGUGUAGUGGUGAAAUGCGUAGAUAUCGGGAGGAACACCAGUGGCGAAGGCGGCUACCUGGCCCAUUCUUGACGCUGAGGCGCGAAAGCUAGGGGAGCAAACGGG
rnacentral:rRNA from 1 species